AACUGAGCAGCCAAACCAGAAGCGGAGGAGACGACCGUGGAAGUGAUUUGUCCUGAAAUCAUCAGGUGCAAAAGCUGCCAGGACAAAACAGAUUCCAACGGGACUGUUGUGCCCUUUGGAAAGCUGGAAAAAGACUGUGGGUGUGUGUGUGUGUGUGUGUGUGUGUGUGUGUGUGUGUGUGUGUGUGUGUGUGUGUGUGUGUGUGUCCUUCCAUUUCAAGUGAAGUGCAAUGGCUCUCUCUCAGUUCAGAAAAAUGAACAAUUUGGAGGGCAGCAUUCUGAAAUAAAAGUUAGAUUGUAUGAUCUUAUUAGACACACCUAGUAACCCCUUACAAGACCCCUUCAAGGACUCCUAGUGCCAUUUAUAAUCUUUCAUGUUUCAUAAUCUGUCUUCUUAUGUAAUUUUAAUAUGAAAUGGCACUAGCUGCCCCCCACCCCCCAUGCUCUGGGAUAGCUUCUCUUCUCUUCAUUUUCAAUAGUUAGGGCCUGUCUGCCUUCAGAGCUCAGUAGUAUUGCUUAAAAGAGCCUUCGUUCAGUGCUGCCUUCUCUAUGACUGAUUCCAGCCAGCACAAUGAAAGCUAUUGGGAUGAACGCACACUCCAUUGGAGGCAGCCUUUACAGGGAAGAGUUAAGUUCAUUCAUUGCAAAGUAUUUGCUAGGGGCCUGGGAUCUCUGGCUUUCUGGGUGUGGGGACUUUUAAAGACAAUGGGUUCUCAGGUGUUAUGCAAAUAAAGCAAAGCCCCGGCCCUGUCCCCUAGGCCAGCCGAGACCUCAGAGAGCAGUUCCUCCUGCCUUAAUGGUUCAUUGUUUCCGUCUUAGAGAAGUGGCUGGGAGGGGAGGGGAGGGGUGGAGGGUGGAGGGUGGAGAAGGAACAGUACAGGGUAGAAGGAGGGGAUGGAGAAAAAGAAUGGAGACGAGGGUUCCUGGCUUCUGUUGUGGCGUCUUUUCUAUUUGACUUCAUGGUUGUAAGUAUUUCCAGAUGGUGAAUCAGACACCAGACGUAACAAUAUUUCCAUAUUUGGGUAUAGCAGUAGCCUGCGUUUUUAACAUUUUUCUGCCUCUGUUAUCCAACCACAAGGCAUUCUUGACAGCUUCAAAUGUUGUUAAAUAUAGACUUAACUUCUGUUCCCAGAGCAGGAAAUUCUUUGGAAUUCCUUGUUUUUCACGCAAUCUGUCUAUCACGAUUUAAAAUAAAGUUACAGUGGAUGACCCAACUGGCCUGGAUAUACUGUGUUCUUUUGCUGGGGGAGGGAGGAGCAGCCGAGAGGUCCAGUAUACUGCACAGCGCUCAAACGGACACCCCAUUCCAUAGCUGCCUUAAAAAAAUCAGAUUAAAGUUUUCUAUUGAGGAUGUGUGGAGUUUUGUUUCUGGUCUCCAACUGGGCAAUCUCAAAGAAUGGGAUUGUCCCAGAGGAGAAACCCCCGAGAACAUUACCGUCGGCUGCCCAUUUAAGCAGCCGACCGCAUGCCCUGCUGCGCCUGCUGCUAACCAAGAGGAACAGCGGCUUCUUAAAUCCUUGCCUACGAUGGUCCAGCAAGCCCAGACGUCCUGUCGCCUUCUCACCUCCUCUGCUGAGAGCUACAGAUCUUCCGAUGACAGACAAGGAGGGGAUGUGCGAAUGGUGUGGCAACCUGAUGCAGUAAGAUUUAUUAGCAAUCCAAUCGAAACAGGAAGAGCUGUGUACAGACAGGAGAAUCAGCUUGCUCAAGGUUACCCACCUGGUAAGUGAAGUAAGUAAAGCCAACUCUAUGACCCGAGACUUGUUCUUGUCCCAGGCUGCUAUACCUCCUGGAAUCAUUAACUCAUGGGUUUUUAAAAAAAUUAUUUAACAAUUUCAUAUAUGUAUAUAUUUUUGUCAUUUUCAUCUCUAUGGGUUUUGUCUUUCUUAAAGAUUGGGUGUUAAUUCCCAAGGUCACUUCUAGUCAUCAUUAAAAGUUAAUUUUGGUGGUA